AGCUCCAAUAGCGUAUAUUAAAGUUGUUGCGGUUAAAAAGCUCGUAGUUGGAUUUCUGCCGUAGACGAUCGGUCCGCUCUUUGAGCGUGUAUCUGAUUCGGCUAUGGCAUCCUCGUGAGUUGCGUUGCUGUGCUUGAUUGCAUGGUGCGAAGUUCACGACUUUUACUUUGAGGAAAUUAGAGUGUUCACGGCAGGCAAUUGCCCUGAAUAUAUUAGCAUGGAAUAAUAAUAUAGGACUUUGGUCUUAUUUUGUUGGUUUCUAGGACUAAAGUAAUGAUUAAUAGGGAUAAUUGGGGGCAUUUGUAUUAACGCGUCAGAGGUGGAAUUCUUGGAUUGCGUUACGACAAACUACUGCGAAAGCAUUUGCCAAGGAUGUUUUCA
rnacentral:rRNA from 1 species